rnacentral:rRNA from 1 species
UGCCUGCCCAGUGACAACUGUUUAACGGCCGCGGUAUCCUGACCGUGCAAAGGUAGCAUAAUCAUUUGUUCUCUAAAUAAGGACUUGUAUGAAUGGCCACACGAGGGUUUUACUGUCUCUUACUUCCAAUCAGUGAAAUUGACCUUCCCGUGAAGAGGCGGGAAUGCAUAAAUAAGACGAGAAGACCCUAUGGAGCUUUAACUAACCAACCCAAAGAAAAUAAAUUUAACCAUUGAGGAACAACAACAAUCUCCAUGAGUUGGUAGUUUCGGUUGGGGUGACCUCGGAGAAUAAAAAAUCCUCCGAACGAUUUUAAAGACUAGACCCACAAGUCAAAUCACUCUAUCGCUCAUUGAUCCAAAAAUUUGAUCAACGGAACAAGUUACCCUAGGGAUAACAGCGCAAUCCUAUUUAAGAGUCCAUAUCGACAAUAGGGUUUACGACCUCGAUGUUGGAUCAGGACAUCCUGAUGGUGCAACCGCUAUCAAAGGUUCGUUUGUUCAACGAUUAAAGUCCUACGUGAUCU